GCCAGACUCCUACGGGAGGCAGCAGUGGGGAAUAUUGCACAAUGGGGGAAACCCUGAUGCAGCGACGCCGCGUGAGUGAAGAAGUAUUUCGGUAUGUAAAGCUCUAUCAGCAGGGAAGAUAAUGACGGUACCUGACUAAGAAGCCCCGGCUAACUACGUGCCAGCAGCCGCGGUAAUACGUAGGGGGCAAGCGUUAUCCGGAUUUACUGGGUGUAAAGGGUGCGCAGGUGGCAGGGCAAGUCAGAUGUGAAAGCCCGGGGCUCAACCCCGGUAUUGCAUUUGAAACUGUCCGGCUAGAGUGCAGGAGAGGUAAGCGGAAUUCCUAGUGUAGCGGUGAAAUGCGUAGAUAUUAGGAGGAACACCAGCGGCGAAGGCGGCUUACUGGACUGUAACUGACACUGAGGCACGAAAGCGUGGGGAGCAAACAGGAUUAGAUACCCGUGUAU
rnacentral:rRNA from 1 species